rnacentral:rRNA from 1 species
CCUACGGGAGGCAGCAGUCGGGAAUUUUGGGCAAUGGGCGAAAGCCUGACCCAGCAACGCCGCGUGAAGGAUGAAAUCCUUCGGGAUGUAAACUUCGCAAGAACGGGAAGAAUAAGUAAGAGCUAACAUCUCUUACGAUGACGGUACUGUUUGUAAGCUCCGGCUAACUCCGUGCCAGCAGCCGCGGUAAUACGGGGGGAGCAAGCGUUGUUCGGAUUUACUGGGCGUAAAGGGCGCGUAGGCGGCCACCGCAAGUCAGUUGUGAAAUCUCUGGGCUUAACCCAGAAAGGUCAACUGAUACUGCGGGGCUAGAGUGCAGAAGGGGCAACUGGAAUUCUCGGUGUAGCGGUGAAAUGCGUAGAUAUCGAGAGGAACACCUGCGGCGAAGGCGGGUUGCUGGGCUGACACUGACGCUGAGGCGCGAAAGCUAGGGGAGCGAA